rnacentral:rRNA from 1 species
UACGGGGGGAGCAAGCGUUGUUCGGAUUUACUGGGCGUAAAGGGCGCGUAGGCGGCCACCGCAAGUCGGCUGUGAAAUCUCCGGGCUUAACUCGGAAAGGUCAGCCGAUACUGCGGGGCUAGAGUGCAGAAGGGGCAACUGGAAUUCUCGGUGUAGCGGUGAAAUGCGUAGAUAUCGAGAGGAACACCUGCGGCGAAGGCGGGUUGCUGGGCUGACACUGACGCUGAGGCGCGAAAGCUAGGGGAGCGAACGGG